UACGUAGGGGGCAAGCGUUGUCCGGAUUUACUGGGCGUAAAGCGCGUGUAGGCGGAGCGUUAAGUCUGGCCUGAAAGCCCCCGGCUCAACCGGGGAGGGUGGCUGGAAACUGGCGUUCUUGAGGGCGAUAGAGGAGAGCGGAAUUCCUGGUGUAGCGGUGAAAUGCGUAGAUAUCAGGAGGAACACCCGUGGCGAAGGCGGCUCUCUGGAUCGGCCCUGACGCUGAGACGCGAAAGCGUGGGGAGCGAACGGG
rnacentral:rRNA from 1 species